rnacentral:rRNA from 1 species
UACGUAGGGUGCAAGCGUUAAUCGGAAUUACUGGGCGUAAAGCGUGCGUAGGCGGUUUUGUAAGUCUGUCGUGAAAGCCCCGGGCUCAACCUGGGAAUUGCGAUGGAGACUGCAAGGCUUGAAUCUGGCAGAGGGGGGUAGAAUUCCACGUGUAGCAGUGAAAUGCGUAGAGAUGUGGAGGAACACCGAUGGCGAAGGCAGCCCUCUGGGUCAAGAUUGACGCUCAUGCGCGAAAGCGUGGGGAGCAAACAGG